rnacentral:rRNA from 1 species
GACGAACGCUGGCGGCGUGCUUAACACAUGCAAGUCGAACGGAAAGGCCCUGCUUUUGUGGGGUGCUCGAGUGGCGAACGGGUGAGUAACACGUGAGUAACCUGCCCUUGACUUUGGGAUAACUUCAGGAAACUGGGGCUAAUACCGGAUAGGAGCUCCUGCUGCAUGGUGGGGGUUGGAAAGUUUCGGCGGUUGGGGAUGGACUCGCGGCUUAUCAGCUUGUUGGUGGGGUAGUGGCUUACCAAGGCUUUGACGGGUAGCCGGCCUGAGAGGGUGACCGGCCACAUUGGGACUGAGAUACGGCCCAGACUCCUACGGGAGGCAGCAGUGGGGAAUAUUGCACAAUGGGCGGAAGCCUGAUGCAGCAACGCCGCGUGCGGGAUGACGGCCUUCGGGUUGUAAACCGCUUUCGCCUGUGACGAAGCGUGAGUGACGGUAAUAGGUAAAGAAGCACCGGCUAACUACAUG